CCUACGGGAGGCAGCAGUGAGGAAUAUUGGUCAAUGGACGCAAGUCUGAACCAGCCAUGCCGCGUGCAGGAAGACGGCUCUAUGCGUUGUAAACUGCUUUUGUACGAGGGCAAAUUCCGAUUCGUGUGUCGGGCUGAAAGUAUCGUACGAAAAAGGAUCGGCUAACUCCGUGCCAGCAGCCGCGGUAAUACGGAGGAUUCAAGCGUUAUCCGGAUUUAUUGGGGUUAAAGGGUGCGUAGGCGGUACGUUAAGUUAGGGGUGAAAUCCCGGGGCUUAACCCCGGCACUGCCUCUGAAACUGUCUGUCUAGAGUUUAGGUGAGGUAGGCGGAAUGUGUGGUGUAGCGGUGAAAUGCAUAGAGAUCAUGCAGAACACCGAUUGCGAAGGCAGCUUACCGGACUCCGACUGACGUUGAGGCACGAAAGCGUGGGGAGCAAACAGGAUUAGAUACCCGAGUAGUC
rnacentral:rRNA from 1 species